CCAAUAUUGGAUUCUAAAGCAAGGGCAAUUUCGUUAAUUCCCAUUAGCAUUAAGAAACCCUAAUGCCGCAUAAAUCUCACUAUAAAAACAACUUUUAACCUAACCUUUCUUUUGGUCAUUCUUUGAAGAGAGGUUUCUCUUGGAGGAUUAGGUUUUCUUGGCUAUUGGAAUCUCAAGCUUUUGAUUUGUAAUCAGUUUCAACAAUUGGUGUUUUCAAGAAGAAUUUGAUUUGAAAUCCGAUUGAUUCAUGGUGGAUGGUUAAGAGAAGCGUUGGCACAACGACUGCAAAUUAGUUUCAACAAUUAGUGUUUUCAUGAAGAAACUAGUUUCAAGAUAUGGUUGAUUCAUCUAGUGAUCGUUAAGAAAGCGUUUGUCCAAGGAUUGCUUGAAACAUGAUCAAUUUGUUAUGGAGCGCAUGAGAUCUUCAAAAGCCUGGAAAGAUAGUUUCAUGGUUUCUAUUCCUGGGUCGCAAGUAAUUAUGGGUAGGUUGCUUUAAGUGUAAACAUGUGUGCACGUGAACAUUGCCUAGUAUUGUUAGUAUCAAUACGUAACAGAUUUAUGCGUUAU